rnacentral:misc_RNA from 1 species
UUUUCAUUCACAGGUAGUCUGGAACUGCUUCAAGGGUAAUGAUUUCAGUAAUCCAUUUUCAUUUGCUGUGGAUAAUUAGUUGGAUUCUUUUCUUUGCUCCCUUAUAAGUAUGCAUUUCAUAUUUAACUCAAGAACAUAUGCCAUCUUCCUCGCUAGAAAAAAAUAAAAAUAAAAAGAACAAAAGAUUUCCAUAUACUCUUUUAGAUAAUGAACUGAAGCUGCAUCUGCUGCAUUCGUCUUCUCAAUUUUAAG